rnacentral:rRNA from 1 species
GACGAACGCUGGCGGCGUGCUUAACACAUGCAAGUCGAACGGAAAGGCCCUGCUUUUGUGGGGUGCUCGAGUGGCGAACGGGUGAGUAACACGUGAGUAACCUGCCCUUGACUUUGGGAUAACUUCAGGAAACUGGGGCUAAUACCGGAUAGGAGCUCCUGCUGCAGGGUGGGGGGUGGAAAGUUUCGGCGGUUGGGGAUGGACUCGCGGCUUAUCAGCUUGUUGGUGGGGUAGUGGCUUACCAAGGCUUUGACGGGUAGCCGGCCUGAGAGGGUGACCGGCCACAUUGGGACUGAGAUACGGCCCAGACUCCUACGGGAGGCAGCAGUGGGGAAUAUUGCACAAUGGGCGGAAGCCUGAUGCAGCAACGCCGCGUGCGGGAUGACGGCCUUCGGGUCGUAAACCGCUUUCGCCUGUGACGAAGCGUGAGUGACGGUAAUGGGUAAAGAAGCACCGGCUAACUACGUG